rnacentral:lncRNA from 1 species
AAAAACAUGAAUACAGUAUUUCAGUCAUUUUCCAAUAAAAUCAUUUCCAAACAUAAUGUUUUAAUUAGCUAGGCUAGUUUCUUCACAGAAUUUGCAGCUUUCUCCUUGUACAGCAUGAUCAAAUUGUACAAACCACCCUUCCUACUCGUGAUGUGCACAUCCUUCAGGCUCCUGUCAGAUGAGAGUGUGUGAAGAGAAAUGCAAUUCGUUUCAUGGUUUGAGUGCUUUUUGGCUGAAGACAAGCAUAACAGUGGCGGUUUCAUUAGAAGACAUCACAUGAGAGAAGGAGUGAGCUGCGCCUGAGCAGCAGCCACCAUGGGGUGUGCGCCCUCCAGAUCCCCCUGCCACUAUCACGACCCCCAGCCGCACAGAGAUGCCCGGGACCUGGACACCUGCUCCACCUUCAUCUCCAGCCUGAAAAGCUCCUCUUCCACCCCGGAGAGGCCACUGUGCAGCCCUGCCGCCCAGCCACAGCCGGAGUCCCGGAAAUCCUUCCUCGGGGUUCCUUGCAGUGACCAUCAUGGACACCCACUGGUCCAGCCCCUGACCCCUGAGCCGGGGCAGUGCCAGCUUACAGACAGAAGGCUCAGUGGCACGGAGGCACCUGAUGAAGAAAAGUAAGCCCAGCCUGAACUGAUACCAUUCUGUCGGCUCUGCAGCAGGACCUGUCUCGCUGGGAGACCUCUCAGAUGCAAACACACACUGGAGGACCUGCCUUUCCACAUCUCGAGAGCUAUCAGCCCAGCGAAUUCUACAGCAGUGUGAGACAGGGUGUUCCUCCACGAGGAAGAAACAAGUCCUCAUGCUAAGACUUGUUUCAAAACAACAAUAUAUCAUUUUGUUUCAUGAUAAAGAAUGUUAGUGUGGAGUGGUGGGUUACAUCGACAUGUAUCAGUACAACAUUUAUAUAUUAGCAAUUCCAUAUUAAUACAUUUCUACAUGCAGCACAUGUGAAAUAGGACUAAAACAGUACAGCUGAUUUACUAACACUUUCGGUUAUUUAAUUUCAGUUAAAGUCUUACUGAAUACAUUGGUGUUUUGUCUUGUAAAUAUCCAAUAAUUUAGUUCAGGUGGGAGCUGUGUCAGCAUGCGUAGGCUGCAAAGGAACAAGUAACAGAUUUAUUCCAUGCUGAAAAAAAGAAGAAAGAGAACACAACGUAAUUUCCAUUUCCUGCAUUGAGAAAGCACGAUGACAAUCAUUUAUAAAAUAUAUGAGAAAUCAAAGGACAUUUAUUAUUAGAAGCAUUACGCAAUUUUGGGGAUCAAGUGGUAUCUGACUUACAUGUAUAUACAGUAUGAAUUAAUUGUAUUUGAUUUGAAUGAGCUGUUAUGUUCUGCACCUCUCUGCAGCUGGUAAAUGAAGAACGCUCAACAGCCAAAAUGGAGUAUCUACUUUUCGACAAAUAAUUAAACUAACCUUUAUCAUCUCUUCCUUGUUCAUUCGCAUCUUUAAUGUAUCCAGCAGUUCAGAAAAGGCUUCAGCUGUUACAGUGGAUUUUAAAGACGAAUUGGUUAACUUGGAGACCAAGUCCGUUCAAAAACUUAAACCAACUUGGACACAACUCAUAAAUAACAGCUAUCUCAAUGCACUCAGACAAUAUACUGUACAUUGAUACGAAGAAGGAAUGACGAAGAGUGGAUGACUUGAGUAUAGAGAGGGCUUUCAUUUCGGAUAAUUCUCUAAAAAGAGCAGAUCUAAUAUCACUUACCAAUAAUAACUGAAA